UACGUAGGGUGCGAGCGUUGUCCGGAAUUAUUGGGCGUAAAGAGCUCGUAGGCGGUCUGUCGCGUCGGCUGUGAAAACUCGGGGCUCAACUCCGAGCUUGCAGUCGAUACGGGCAGGCUAGAGUUCGGCAGGGGAGACUGGAAUUCCUGGUGUAGCGGUGAAAUGCGCAGAUAUCAGGAGGAACACCGGUGGCGAAGGCGGGUCUCUGGGCCGAUACUGACGCUGAGGAGCGAAAGCGUGGGGGAGCGAACAGG
rnacentral:rRNA from 1 species